AGAGUUUGAUCAUGGCUCAGAGUGAACGCUGGCGGCAGGCCUAACACAUGCAAGUCGAACGGCAGCACGGCAGUAGCAAUACUGUGGGUGGCGAGUGGCGGACGGGUGAGGAAUACAUCGGGAUCUACCCUGUUGUCGGGGGAUAACGUAGGGAAACUUACGCUAAUACCGCAUAAGAACUGAGGUUGAAAGCGGCGGACCGCAAGGCGUCGCGCGAUUGGAUGAACCGAUGUCCGAUUAGCUAGUUGCGGGUAAAGGCCCACCAAGGCGACGAUCGGUAGCUGGUCUGAGAGGACGACCAGCCACACUGGAACUGAGACACGGUCCAGACUCCUACGGGAGGCAGCAGUGGGGAAUAUUGGACAAUGGGCGCAAGCCUGAUCCAGCCAUGCCGCGUGGGUGAAGAAGGCCUUCGGGUUGUAAAGCCCUUUUGUCCGGAAAGAAAAGCAUUCGGUUAAUACCCGGGUGUUCUGACGGUACCGGAAGAAUAAGCACCGGCUAACUUCGUG
rnacentral:rRNA from 1 species